rnacentral:rRNA from 1 species
UAGUUAUUUUCUUUAAACCUAAAGAAUUUGGCGGUGUUUUAGUCUAUUCAGAGGAAUCUGUCCCGUUAUCGAUAGUCCACGUUUUAUCUUACUUUAUUUUGUUGUUCAGUAUGUAUACCGCCGUUAUAAGUUUAUUUUAUUAGAAUUGUUUAAUUUACUUAAAAUAAAAUUUUAUAUUAUUUCAGGUCAAGGUGCAGUUUAUAGUGAAGUGGAGAUGGAUUACACUUUUAUUUGAAUAAAUGGACAUGUUUAAUUUAAAAUUUCAUUGAAGGUGGAUUUGAUAGUAAUAUUUUAAAUAUUAAUUAUUUGAUUUUAGCUCUAAAAUAAGCACACAUCGCCCGA